UACGGGGGGGGCAAGCGUUGUUCGGAAUUACUGGGCGUAAAGGGCUCGUAGGCGGCCAACUAAGUCGGACGUGAAAUCCCUCGGCUUAACCGGGGAACUGCGUCCGAUACUGGAUGGCUGGAGGUUGGGAGAGGGAUGCGGAAUUCCAGGUGUAGCGGUGAAAUGCGUAGAUAUCUGGAGGAACACCGGUGGCGAAGGCGGCAUCCUGGACCAAUUCUGACGCUGAGGUGCGAAAGCGUGGGGAGCGAACAGG
rnacentral:rRNA from 1 species